rnacentral:rRNA from 1 species
GACGAACGCUGGCGGCGUGCUUAACACAUGCAAGUCGAACGAGAGGACAAGAGAAGCUUGCUUCUUUUGGAAUCGAGUGGCAAACGGGUGAGUAACACGUAAACAACCUGCCUUCAGGAUGGGGACAACAGACGGAAACGACUGCUAAUACCGAAUACGCUUGGAAGACCGCAUGAUUUUCCAAGGAAAGGGUGGCCUCUACCUGUAAGCUAUCGCCUGAAGAGGGGUUUGCGUCUGAUUAGGCAGUUGGUGAGGUAACGGCCCACCAAACCUACGAUCAGUAGCCGGUCUGAGAGGAUGAACGGCCACACUGGGACUGAGACACGGUCCAGACUCCUACGGGAGGCAGCAGUGGGGAAUCUUCCGCAAUGGGCGAAAGCCUGACGGAGCAACGCCGCGUGAGUGAUGACGGCCUCGGUUGUAAAGCUCUGUGAUCGGGGACGAACGGUCCGUAAGCUAAUACCUUAUGGAAGUGACGGUACCCGAAUAGCAAGCCACGGCUAACUACGUG